ACCUGGAAGAGCAGGACUCAUCUCUGGGGUCAGGGAGAAGUACCAGUGCAAGUAGAGUCCCACGGGCUGGGAAUGGAGGAACAGUGUAUUCCUAAAAGGAUAUGAGCACUCUGUUUCCAGAAGACAGGUGUUGGGUCUUAUACUCUGGAGUAUGUUUUGUCUGGAUGUGGCAGAUGGCAGAACCUAUUUAGAGCAGAGACACCCCAUCAGACAGAAAAGGAAACUGAGGCUUCUGGAAGUUGGGGCGCCCACAAGACUGCAUGAACUGGCAGUCCCACAGGCUCUGACACUCAGGAACUCCCAGGUAACCACAGAAGAUGCUUUCUCCACCUACUGAGGAAAAGGUGUGAUGUCUACGAGCUGAGCUUCACUGUUAGGGCCUCCAUACUGGGAGUUUCCCCUGCUUGGAACUUGCUCGCCCCUUCACACAGCGCAGCCCUCACCUCCACAGCGUUUACCAAACCAUGGGAACUACACCCAGUUUGUCCUACGCUCUGUCUCUAACACACAGCAUAUGCCCCAUGAAAGCUGAACGCUGGGCUGGCGUCUGUCUCCAUCAUGGGGAUGUCCGCCCGCAUAAGUCACGCGCGGAAGAAAUAGGCUUUUAAUAAACAUGAGUGGAAUGAAGCACUGAGGAAACGUACUCCAUCGUGUUACUCAGGGUGCCCGUGCUGCAGGAGGGCUCCGGCUCUCCCCACCUCAGAGAGGAGAUGCCACAUCCCAUUUCCAGUCCCCGGAGUCACCGCGUGUCAUGCCUGAUAAAUGGCCAUCAUUCUGGGAAGGCACCAGACCUUAUUUCUCGGCGCGAGCUGACACCAGAGCCUCCUGCCAAGAGCGGCACAUUGUUUGCCGCACAAUAGGAUCCAAUCAGUACUUGCUGACUGACUUUGUGACUCCUGAAGUCAUUGGGGAGUCAUCGAAGCCUCUUAAGCAAAGGAGCGACAUGGUCAUAUUUGUACUCUAGGAAGAGCCUCUGGAUGGCUGACGUGUGGACAAUGACUUGGAGGAGGAAGAGAGGAGCUGGCUGGAACUGUGAGCUUGAAGACUUGGGGUUAAGGCUGUCAAUGAUCCUCCAUUAUCCCCUUCCCCCCUUCAUUUAUGGAGUGACUUUGAGCAGAGAUGUGGAGGAAGGGGGAAUGGAUUGAGCCAACAGGACAUCAGGGGAGAUGCUUGCAAGUGGACACAGCGUGUGCAAAGGCCCUGAGCACCGAGUCCGCUGCAGCCUGGGUCAGAGGGUGGAUGAGAUAACUCAGUCUCCCAAAUGCAGCCCCUGGCCUAUGGGGCUCAACAAAAUGGCAGGUGACAUAGACCCACACUGGAGGUUCCCUGACGGCCUGAGGAAGAUAUAGAGAGGAUCCCAGUGUGUGAACAUUAUUUUUUGCUCAUUCUGCUAUUGCUGGAGACUCGAGACACUUCCAUUUUUGGCCAACCGGGCGCUAUGACAUUCUUCUGGGUAUGAGUCUUUUGGUGAACAGACGCACGCAUUUCUGUUGGUCUCAUCCACUAGAAUCUGAGCUCCCCAAGAGUCGAGACUUUGCUUUCUUCCUUCUGCACCUCAGUUCCUAGCACAGUGCUUGGCAUGAAGAGAACGCACAAUGGGCUCCAAAUUGUACCAUGCCAGCUAAUUAUAGGAGCUUUAAACUGCCUUUACCAACCAAUCUCCUCUCGACAACCAUGGACUCCUGGAGAGACGCAGUGGGGGGAACUCGUAAAGAGACGCCAGCGAGAAACAGCUUGGAGGGACUUGACAAUUUUCCCUUAUCUCUGAUGAUCCACAUUGCCUGGCCAAGUUGUUCAUGAAGGAGGCCUUAUGAUGCAUCUCAAAAAAGCAACCACGGGCUCUCAAUCACUCAGCAAAUUUUGGAAGGAAAAACAGAUAUCAAAAACGCAAGUGCACAACAGUAAUAUAUGAUAUCAGAUCCGUCAUUCUUUACAGCAACA